rnacentral:piRNA from 1 species
UAGUGUUGGUGAGUUUGGAGCACUGUGU